GUCAAAGACAAAGUUUGGUGGACACACGUACUUGAAGAAAUGGUACCGCCCUAAUCUACGCAGUGCAGGCAGCACCUCAGGGGGGAAAAGACCCAAGACGGCUCCGAUCACCGCAAAGGAGAAGUGGAAAACUCAGAAGGAUAGCGACAAGAACGAGAGGGCAGUCCAGGCAGCGAGUCACAGCACCAUGGUGGUCAACCAGGAGGACGUUGAUCACAUGAUCACUGUGCAGCAUCUCCUGUCUGGAGAGGACCGUGCUGACUCUUUGGGCUCCUUGUUGGACUUUGACGAGAACUUCUGGAAAAGUCUUCGAGGAUCGCCAUCAAAGCAGGAAGCCAACCCUUCCUUGGAGUUCUUGUCCAUCAUUACCCCCUCUGCUGCCGCUCUU